GUCAACGAUCAUAUCACGUUGAAAGCACCAGUUCUCGUCUGAUCACUGAAGUUAAGCAGCAUUGAGCGUGGAUGGGUGACCGCUUGGGAACACCGCGUAUCGUUGGCA
rnacentral:rRNA from 1 species